rnacentral:rRNA from 1 species
GUCUAUGGCCAUGCACUCUGAACAAGCCCGAUGUCUGAUCAGGGUUGGGCCUGGUUAGUUGGAUGGGAGACCACCUAGGAAAAACAGGUGCUAUAGGCA